CGUGCACCAAUGGGGUCCCUCAGCCUGGCCUGCACCCUCUCGCAAUCCAGGACCCCUUGGGGGAUGUCAGAGAGCUGGUUUCAGCCCAAUUCUGCAGGCCAGGCUGAGGGACCCUACUGGUGCAAG
rnacentral:pre_miRNA from 1 species